AUUGAACGCUGGCGGCAGGCCUAACACAUGCAAGUCGAGCGGAUGAAGGGAGCUUGCUCCUGGAUUCAGCGGCGGACGGGUGAGUAAUGCCUAGGAAUCUGCCUGGUAGUGGGGGAUAACGUCCGGAAACGGGCGCUAAUACCGCAAACGUCCUGAGGGAGAAAGUGGGGGAUCUUCGGACCUCACGCUAUCAGAUGAGCCUAGGUCGGAUUAGCUAGUUGGUGGGGUAAAGGCCUACCAAGGCGACGAUCCGUAACUGGUCUGAGAGGAUGAUCAGUCACACUGGGACUGAGACACGGUCCAGACUCCUACGGAGGGCAGCAGUGGGGAAUAUUGGACAAUGGGCGAAAGCCUGAUCCAGCCAUGCCGCGUGUGUGAAGAAGGUCUUCGGAUUGUAAAGCACUUUAAGUUGGGAGGAAGGGCAGUAAGUUAAUACCUUGCUGUUUUGACGUUACCAACAGAAUAAGCACCGGCUAACUUCGUG
rnacentral:rRNA from 1 species